GCUGCGCGUCUCGACGCAGCGCGCAGCUCUGACGCGCAGGAAGGAACAGACAAAGCGGAAGAAGUCCCACUCGGCGCCGAGAUUUUAACCAAAGCAUUCCUGCCAGCAGACCGCCGUUUAUUUGUACUAAUGCUGAUCCGUUUAGAUCCUGUCAGUCUUCACCAUGUGGCCAUAAAAUUUGUCAUGUUGGUGAUCAGAGACGCAGCCAUUUAUCUCCAUCCAGAUUGAGGUGAUGGGUUGCAGCUUUUUUUUAAAGAACAUCCCUAAAUGCUGAUUCGUCAUGUUGGUGAUCAGAGACGCAGCCAUUUAUCUCCAUCCAGAUUGAGGUGAGUAAUCUUAUGUAACAAGUACUAAUUAAAUAUACCAGGCUAACUUUUAAAGCAUUGUAAUGAGGUCAGAAAUGUUGAGGUCUGCUUUGUAAAGUAGGAAAAGUUUAAAAAGUAAUUUAAUUCACAACUGGAACAGUGAUGAAUUCACCUUUUCGCCGUUUACCCAUCAGACUUUAGAGUGGUGAGAUGGUGACGACUGAAUUUCCAGCCUCAGUUUCACCUGUAGUCUUCCUUCGGUGUUUUAUUUGGAAAAAGACAAAUCAUUUUGUUUCUUAAUUUUUCAAAUAUUCUCUAAAUUCUGCAGGUGAUGGGUUGCAGCUUUUAUUUUAAAGAACAUCCCUAAAAGGUGGUAAGUCAACAUUGUAUGUAUUCAGCAGGCUUGUAUUUCAAGCUGUAAUGAUGAGUUCCACCUUUUUGCCGUUUACCCGUCAGACAAUAAAAUGGUGAUAAUGUGACAAACUGAAAUGCCAGGAUAAAAAGCCAUUUCUGGUGAGAGUGCAUUUUCAUUUACAAAGAAAGAUAAUUACUGUUUAAUUUUUCCCCAAUAAUUUAGAUUUGUCAUGUUGGUGAUCAGAGACGCAGCCAUUUAUCUCCAUCCAGAUUGAGGUGAUUGGUUGCAGCUUUUUAAGAUGCUGGUGUCUGCAACCAGUUGAGUGAGUGCACAUUUGUGAAAGAAUGGGUCGCUAUCGGGAGCUCAGUGAAUUCCAGCGUGGAGCUGUGAUAGGAUGUCACCGGUGCAACAAAUCCAGUCGUGAAAUUUCCUCGUUCCUAAAUGUUACACAGUCAACUGCCAGCCGUGUUGUAAGAAAAUGGAAGUGUUUGAGAAUGACAACUCUGCCACUUAGAGGUAGGCCACGUAAACUGACGGAGCGGGGUCAGCAGAUGCCGAUACACAUAGUGCGACGAGGUCACCAACUUUCUGCAGAGUCAAUCACUACAGACCUCCAAACUUAGUACCAGUGAAAGGAACUCUGAAUGCUUCAGCAUACCAAGACAUUUUGGACAAUUCCACACUCCCAACUUUGUGGGAACAGUUUGGAGCUGACCCCUUCCUCUUCCAACAUCACUGUGCAUCAGUGGAUGGCAGAGUCUGAACUUGACUGGCCUGCACAGAGUCCUCACCUUAACCCGAUAGAACACCUUUGGGAUGAAUUAGAGCAGAGACUGAGUGCCAGACCUUCUCGUCCAAAUGUGCUUCUGGAGUAAUGGUCAAAAAUUCCUAUAAACGCACUCAUAAACCUUCCCAGAAGAGGUGAGGCUGUUCUAGCUGCAAAGUGUGGACCGUCAUUGAAUCCUAUGGAUUAAGAGUGGGAUGUCACUUAAACUCAUGUGAGUCAAGACAGGUGAGCCAAUAGUUUUGGCAAUAUAGUGUAUUACAAUUCUGUAAGUUUAAUUUAAGGCUGCUGUUAAAUUGAUACUUGACUCAAAUCUGUUCAUGUUAUUUCUUAUUUUAUACUUUGUGUGAAAAUGCAUGCUUCUAUUUGCUUUUCACUUUGCUACUGCAGGACAAUAAAGUAUAUUUCUAUUUCUAAAAUGUUUUUUUUUUGUCUUUCAAGUCACAUUUCUGUUAUAAAUAAUAA